GGCAGGAAGGAGGCAGCAGAGGCCACAGUCCCCAACUGCACAUCUCAAAGCAAUGGCCACCGUUUCGUCCAGCCCUGUUUCAAAACAAACUCAGCUCAUACCGUGGAAGGAAUAUUUAGAUCUUCCUUAUAUUUUUGCUUUUUUUUUUUUACAUUUCUUUGAAAUGUCACUGACUUGUGUUUUUAUUUGCUUUUGAAGGAUACUGUGGCUCUCCGGCUUGACUACCAACGUCGUGGACAUAAUUUUGGCUCAUCACUUCGGGCAGGUUGAGGUUAGAGCUUCAGCCGUGUUUCCUGGGAGGAAUCGUUCCCGCACUUUCAGGCCCAGGGAGCUGCCUCUAUCUUCUCGGCUCUCUCACCCUUGUGCUGUAGAAGGCAAACAGGUUUUUUCCUUAUCUCUGUUCUCCACGAUGCUUCCUGGUG
ensembl:lncRNA